rnacentral:rRNA from 1 species
GAUGAACGCUGGCGGCGUGCCUAAUACAUGCAAGUCGAGCGAACAGACGAGGAGCUUGCUCCUCUGACGUUAGCGGCGGACGGGUGAGUAACACGUGGAUAACCUACCUAUAAGACUGGGAUAACUUCGGGAAACCGGAGCUAAUACCGGAUAAUAUAUUGAACCGCAUGGUUCAAUAGUGAAAGACGGUUUUGCUGCCACUUAUAGAUGGAUCCGCGCCGCAUUAGCUAGUUGGUAAGGUAACAGCUUACCAAGGCAACGAUGCGUAGCCGACCUGAGAGGGUGAUCGGCCACACUGGAACUGAGACACGGUCCAGACUCCUACGGGAGGCAGCAGUAGGGAAUCUUCCGCAAUGGGCGAAAGCCUGACGGAGCAACGCCGCGUGAGUGAUGAAGGUCUUCGGAUCGUAAAACUCUGUUAUUAGGGAAGAACAAAUGUGUAAGUAACUAUGCACGUCUUGACGGUACCUAAUCAGAAAGCCACGGCUAACUACGU